UUCUUCUCCCUUGCGCCGAGCAGCUCAUCCCUCAUCUGCAUUUCAGUUUUCAUCUCCUUCUACAAUCUGUGUCCUAAUGCUGCUUCUCCUCUUAUCCUCCUUCAUUUUAUUUCUUUUCUUUCCUCUAUUUUUCUGUGGGUUGCCACCUGCUGUAUUUCUUCUUCUUCUUCUUCUUCAUUUUCGGUCUCAUCUUUCAUCUGCAAAUCUGGGUUGUGCCGCAGCACCUGGGGUCCUUUUCUAUCCGAUCUAUCCGUGCACUUCCAUGCUCAUCAAUCUCUCUAUCUUUCCUUGGUAUUUUCGUGUGCUAUGCUUGUGAAAAAUCCCCUUGCAUUUUCGGUUGUUCUUUGCUCCAUUUUAGUGCCUCAUUUUCCUACCCGUCCCAUUUUUUUUCGCUUCUUUCCUUGCUCUGUUUUCUUGGCCAUUUUUGUGCUCGGUUUUCUUUGUUUUCCUCUAGUAAUUUCGUGGGUUCAUGCUUGUGUUUUAUUCCCAUCUCAUUCUCGUUAGUUUGGUCUUCCAUUUCUCUGUCUUUGUUCAUGCCAUGCCCCUGUAUUUUGUCCAAAUCCGUGAGCCUCAUUUUCUGUUUUGGUGACUUGUGUUCCAGCCGUGGCAUCAUAUUCAUGCAUUUUGUUAUUGCAUGAAUAUAUUUUUAUCCCGCAUUUUGUUUGAAUUAUUACUUACAUGUGAUACAGUUUCUUGAUAAUGUAGAUUUUUGUACAGAUGACGAAGAGGCUGAGCCCGAGGAGACGGCUCUGCCGCAGGAGUAGAUUGGCGUCUCUACUUAUAAUUGUUGGAAGUUAUCUUCCAUUUUCAAAUUAUGUAUUUUGGUUUAUGACUUUUUUACUAAAAUUUAUAAUAUUUUUAAUACACUUAUGUUUAAGUGAACUUGUAUUUAAACAAAUUCUGGUAUUUAGUUGACUGACUUUAGAUAUCCACUGCGUUGAUUUUGUUGUACACAUUUUGCUUAUACAUAUACUUGACACUUGGCAAUGGAA